UCGCAAACUCGCGAGAGUAAGCUAAUCUCUUAAAGCCGUUCUCAGUUCGGACUGUAGGCUGCAACUCGCCUACACGAAGUCGGAAUCGCUAGUAAUCGCGGAUCAGCAUGCCGCGGUGAAUACGUUCCCGGGCCUUGUACACACCGCCCGUCACACCAUGAGAGUUUGUAACACCCAAAGCCGGUGGGGUAACCUUUUGGAGCCAGCCGUCUAAGGUGGGACAGAUGAUUAGGGUGAAGUCGUAACAAGGUAUC
rnacentral:rRNA from 1 species